rnacentral:rRNA from 1 species
UACGUAGGGUGCAAGCGUUGUCCGGAAUUAUUGGGCGUAAAGAGCUCGUAGGCGGUUUGUUGCGUCGGCUGUGAAAUCCCGAGGCUCAACCUCGGGUCUGCAGUCGAUACGAGCAAACUAGAGUGUUGCAGGGGAGACUGGAAUUCCUGGUGUAGCGGUGAAAUGCGUAGAGAUCGGGAGGAACACCAGAGGCGAAGGCGGCGACCUGGACAGAUACUGACACUCAACUGCGAAAGCGUGGGGAGCAAACAGG